GGCGUGGUGAAGAGGCGAUGAGCUCCUCCUACUCGACUUUGACACCCAUCUUCUCUGUGUUUAAUAGGUAGAGGCUGUCGUCUAUCAGGAAGCUGGAAGGAGAAUGAAGCAAGGAACGUUUAUCAGACACUGCCUGAAAUGCUUCUCUUCAGUGACUAUGAAACGAAGGCAGAGCAGCUGCAGAGUUCGACUCACCAGAGAGAAGGCGUUGAUGGUGUGGUACAUGGGGCUCUGGCGUGGCACCGUGCUCCGAUAGCGCAGCAGCAUGAGAAGGCAAGCCAGGCCGUUAAGCAGAG